rnacentral:rRNA from 1 species
UACGUAGGUGGCAAGCGUUGUCCGGAUUUACUGGGCGUAAAGAGCGCGCAGGCGGCUGGUCAAGUCCGAUGUGAAAUCUCCCGGCUUAACCGGGAAACUGCAUCGGAAACUGAUCGGCUUGAAGGUGGGAGAGGGUAGUGGAAUUCCCGGUGUAGUGGUGAAAUGCGUAGAUAUCGGGAGGAACACCAGUGGCGAAGGCGACUACCUGGCCCAUUCUUGACGCUGAGGCGCGAAAGCUAGGGGAGCGAACGGG